GACGAACGCUGGCGGCGUGCCUAAUACAUGCAAGUCGAACGCAGUGGGGACGGGUGAGUAACACGUGGGUCACCUCCCCAUCAGAGGGGAUAACACUUGGAAACAGGUGCUAAACCGAUACUGAUGGAUGGACCCGCGGUGCAUUCGCUAGUUGGUGAGGUAAGGGCUACACGAGGCCACGAUGCAUAGCCGACCUGAGAGGGUGAUCGGCAACACUGGGAGGUAGACACGGCCCAGACUCCUACGGGAGGCAGCAGGAGGGAAGCGUCGGCAAUGGACGAAAGUAUGACCGAGCAACGCCGCGUGAGUGAAGAAGGUUUUCGGAGCGUAAAACUCUGUUGUUAGAGAAGCGGUAUCUAACCAGAAAGCCACGGCUAACUACGUGCCAGCAGCCGCGGUAAUAC
rnacentral:rRNA from 1 species